UAGAGGCUUUCCGCAGUUCAUUCCUUCUCCCCACACAACUCUGAAGGUACGAUGAUGUACAAAAGAGGAAGCAAAGCACUGAACACAGAACCUGGCAAGCUGUAAUCAUCUGGCACAUCUGAACUGUCUGGGUGGUGUCUCCGCUGCUACCGCCUCAGUGCAGGUUUCCAUCAUCUGUUGCCUGUUGACCAUGAAACUCCCAACUCAAUCCUCUCACUCCAGCCUUCCUCAAACCCCAGUGUCUUCCACAUACUAGGACCAGAGUGAUCCUCUGAACAUAAAACUGAUUGAUAACAGAUCAUCCAAAUGGACUAAUAAUUGACCAAUUAAUAAUUGACAAUCAAAAAAUUCUCUCCUCAAAAAAAAAGGCAAGAAAACUGGCAAAAAAUGUCAAAAUCAACUUUUCUAGAACUCUGAAAGUUAACCACCAAAGGCUUGGAAUAAUCCGGGAAGCUUUUAUUUAAUUAAAAUGGCUGAGUCUUGGUAUGAACAGCAAACUUUGUGGUGUUUCAACUUGCCCUAUUCCUAUCUCCCUAUCUCCCACGUGGUGGUUCCCUAGAAAACUAAC
rnacentral:lncRNA from 10 species